UACGUAGGGACCGAGCGUUGUCCGGAAUCAUUGGGCGUAAAGAGCGUGUAGGCGGCCACUUAAGUCCUGCGUGAAAUCUUGCGGCUCAACCGCAAGCGGUCGUGGGAAACUGGGUGGCUAGAGUGCGGGAGAGGAGAGUGGAAUUCCCGGUGUAGCGGUGAAAUGCGCAGAUAUCGGGAAGAACACCCGUGGCUAAGGCGGCUCUCUAGUACGGUACUGACGCUGAGACGCGAAAGCGUGGGGAGCGAACAGG
rnacentral:rRNA from 1 species